UGUAGUGAUACGGCAGCCGACUCGGAUCGAGACGUUUGUUUUUUUCUUGGAUUUUCUUUGUUCCUCCGACGUGCGUGUGUUGCUGUGGGGUUGGUGUGGCUCCAGCGCUCUGGAGUGCUGCUGCUGUUUUUUUUGGUUUUUUUGUUCUUCUGUAGGGUGUAUUUGCUCCGUUCCAGGGGUCCUUUCCUGCAUUGUUCUUUCACGUCUAGAGGAGCGGCCGGAGGUUCUAGUGUUUGCAGUGGAGUGGUGCUGUGGCGAUCAACCUCUCAGUUUUGGUUUUUUUUUCCUUGCUUAGCCGCUUCGUGUUCCGUUGCUGGCGGCUCCACAAACUGAGUCGCGGAUUCCUUCCUUCAGCUCCCAUUGUGCGAUUAGACAAUGAGAUUGGUGGGCGAGUCUAAGGUGGACUCAACAACGAGUGAGUUUAGCGCUAUCUAGAUUCUGAUCCAAGGUAGAGUGUAUUUUUUUGUCGAAUUUUUAUGUGAAGUAGGUCGCAGACUGAAGCUGUUGGUGUCGAAUCUGGAGAAGUGCAAUUUUACUCCACGAGGCUGCGUGACAUCAAGAUUAUGUGUCAAGUUCAAGAGUUAAGCUACAUUCCGGUUAUAAAGGCUGUACAUGGAAUUUUAUAUGCAGUAGAAGAUGAGUCCCCAGUGAUAGCCGAGCCACAAGCUAUGAUGGAGGAAUUGAUUUUGGAUUAGUGUGGCCUCAAGGAGCUACUCUCGUAGAUCGUGUGUUGUUGUUUUUAAUAAGCUGCUAUGCUCGACAGAGUUCUUCAACUACAGUAGCCCAGUCUGUCGACUCGGUUUCGACACCAAAGAAGCUUUGUUGGGUUUGGAGGAGUUGAGACAUGGUUCGAAUUAGAGAGGUAGAUGAGUAGUCCAAUACAAGGGCCUACACUUAUAUUGAAAUAAUUCUUAAAGAAGAUUUAGGUAUUUCGCUAAUUGAAGCGCCGAAGAUGCAUUCCAUUGCCUGCCAGCAUCGAGCUGCCUGGAUUCAAGACUCUCGACUAGAUUGCCAUUUCCAAUAAGCAUCACCCAAAUUUUGUGAGUAGAUAGGAUCGUGUAUUAGGGCUGAGUUAGGGUUUAAAUAAUUUAGGAUGUAGACGAGUCAAUUUGGAUGAAGUUGUAAUAAAGGAUAAAUUUUUAAACAUA